AAAAUUACAUGUGGAGUUACAUGAGUUACAUCUGCUAAAUCAACAUGAGACUUUAUGGAUUUCAUGCAUGGAUUUCCUGGAUCCAGCUGCUGAGUUCCUGGCUGCUGUGGGGACAAGGAUUAUGGAUUUAAUACACCCUCAUGCUUACCCCAGUGUAAAUCAGAAGCCACUCCACUGAUUUCUUUGGCCUUGAGCCAAUCCGACUCCUAAUGGAGCCAUUCAUAAGAAUCCCAUUAACUUUCCAUGGGGGAGUGUGGAUACGGCCCUUGCCUUGGGAGGUUGCCGUCAGCCCAGUGGGGUUAUCCUGUGAACAAGAGGGAAGAAUCAGCCCUCAGGCCUUUCCUUUCUAAUUCUGAGCAUGCUGCCAGCGCUUAACCAAGUUAAUAAUCAACCCGCAAGCCUGGAAUUCCCUUCUCAGCCUGCAUGGCAGCGACCACUGAGAAAAACGGCUGCAGAAACCUACAGGACCUGAGCUGGCUGCCCAUCGGUUUGUCUGAGUGCACAGUACAGUCUGUGGGAUCUAAACAAAGGGAGCAGCUAAUUUCCUGAAGAAAGCUGCAUGAAAUCAUCUCCUCAGUGCAAAUUUUCAGUUGCAGGGAGAAUUCAGUCCUGUUCUCAUUCAAUCCACAGUAGAGCUUCUGAGGGAUGUGAACCCUAGAAUGGUGAUGAAUGACCAAGGUGCCAGUUGAACAAGACAAGGGUUGGGGAUGCUCUGCCUUAUUUCUCAAUGAGCUUGUGUGAAAUUAAAUGAGUGGAGAAGGGAAGCACGUGCUGAACAACACAACUAUCUGUCGAGAGAUUCUUACGCUUAGGGUAUCUGAGGCAUUACUUUUACACACUCCUUUGGGGAACCAUCUCACACAGUGUAUGUGUUAUGGUUCCUUUUAGAGAAGCUUAUGGGAAUCAUUGAGUUCCAUGUAUUAGUCACCAAAAUGAUUAAUAGGGACCUAAAGGUUCACAUACACAUACUUCCAUGCUAAU